rnacentral:rRNA from 1 species
GGNAACCCUGAUCCAGCAAUUCCGCGUGCAGGAUGAAGGCCCUAGGGUUGUAAACUGCUUUUGUGUGGGACGAAAAGGCCUUCUCUAAUAAAGAGGGUUCCUGACGGUACCACAAGAAUAAGCACCGGCUAACUACGUGCCAGCAGCCGCGGUAAUACGUAGGGUGCAAGCGUUAAUCGGAAUUACUGGGCGUAAAGCGUGCGCAGGCGGUUUUGCAAGACAGCGGUGAAAGCCCCGGGCUUAACCUGGGAAUUGCCGUUGUGACUGCAAGGCUGGAGUGCGGCAGAGGGGGGUGGAAUUCCGCGUGUAGCAGUGAAAUGCGUAGAUAUGCGGAGGAACACCGAUGGCGAAGGCAGCCCCCUGGGCCUGCACUGACGCUCAUGCACGAAAGCGUGGGUAGCAAACAGGAUUAGAUACCCUGGUAGUCCACGCCGUAAACGAUGUCAACUGGUUGUUGGGGAUUUGUUUCUUCAGUAACGAAGCUAACGCGUGAAGUGACCGCCUGGGGACUACGGCCGCA